GAGCCCCGGGCGGCGAAGGAGGCGCUGGGGUGGGCGAGCACGACGAACCUGCCGGAGGACCUCAAGGAGCGGUACGCCGAGUACGCCGCCAGCGGCCGCGGCGACAAGGACAUGGCCUUCGACCUCGACGACAAGAUCCUCGGCGCCGUCGGGAUUGUGCCGGCCAGCGCCACCGUGUAGGAGGAAGCAGGCAGUAUCAAAAGACAAGUUUUGUGGAUAUAUAUACGCUAGCAGGUCCUCCUGGCACGUCGCCAAAGAGGCAAAGACGCUAC
rnacentral:lncRNA from 1 species